rnacentral:lncRNA from 1 species
GGGAAAGGAGAAUAUUCUCCAUUCUGAAACUAUACUGGGGCUAUUACUUCCCAGUCUUCCCUCUGCUGCCAGCCUAUGCGCAGUAGGGUGUAGAAAGACUUGCAGCAACAUAAGACAUUUUCCUUUUGUUUGCAGAUCCAAGCAUCUGACUAAAAUGAGCUGGGAAAAGGGAGAAGAAGGACAAGACGAAAGAAGAGGAAGAAGAGGAUGAAAAGGAAAAGGACAGAGGAGUAGUCAUCAUUGCUAUUCCAUUAUUGGGUGCACCGGUGGCAACCAGGUUAACCAAUUCUGAAGUGCAGCCAGAUGGGAAUUAUGCACCUGGAAAGCUGGGAAUAGCCCUGAACUGUGGUGGAUUUGCCAGGACUAGCGUCACCUUGAGAGAUCCCUGGGAAGCCAGCCAACUCACUUUUCCUGGUGACAACCAGUCUUACAGAGUGAUUCUUAUUAUACUUCAAUAUCAAG